rnacentral:rRNA from 1 species
UACGGAAGGCAGCAGUGGGGAAUAUUGCACAAUGGGCGCAAGCCUGAUGCAGCCAUGCCGCGUGUAUGAAAAAGGCCUUCGGGUUGUAAAGUACUUUCAGUCGUGAGGAAGGUGUUAAGGUUAAUAACCUUAGCAAUUGACGUUAGCGACAGAAGAAGCACCGGCUAACUCCGUGCCAGCAGCCGCGGUAAUACGGAGGGUGCGAGCGUUAAUCGGAAUUACUGGGCGUAAAGGGCACGCAGGCGGUUAAUUAAGUUGGAUGUGAAAUCCCCGGGCUUAACCUGGGAAUGGCAUUCAAGACUGGUUAGCUAGAGUCUUGUAGAGGGGGUAGAAUUCCAUGUGUAGCGGUGAAAUGCGUAGAGAUGUGGAGGAAUACCGGUGGGCGAAGGCGGGCCCCUGGGCAAAGGACUGACGCUCAUGUGCGAAAGCGUGGGGAGGCGAAACAGGGAUUAGAUACC